rnacentral:misc_RNA from 1 species
UUUCCGUAGGUGAACCUGCGGAAGGAUCAUUAAUGAGUUGUCAUGGGGUUCGAUGCUGGCAGCCAAUUUUUGGAUGCAUGUGCUUGCCCUAACAAUCAUCUUCCAAACACCUGUGCACAUUUUUGAGGAGUCUUGAGUUGGUUGCCGCUCUUGGGUGAUUUUCUCACAUUCCCUUAAAUCAUUAUACGCUAUUAACAAUGUUGAACGUGCUCUGUGCCGCAAGGCUAUUAAUAUAAUACAACUUUUAACAACGGAUCUCUUGGCUCUC